rnacentral:rRNA from 1 species
GACAGAGGCCUCAAGCCUUAGGCGGAAUCACUGGGCUUAAAGCGUGUGUAGGCGGAUCGUUAAGUGUCUUGUGAAAUCCCACGGCUCACCCGUGGAACUGCUGGGCAUACUGGCGAUCUUGGGCCAACUAGGGGCAACUGGAACAAGCGGUGGAGCGGUGAAAUGCGUAGAUAUCGCUUGGAACGCCAAAGGUGAAAACAGGUUGCUGGGGUUGUGCCGACGCUGAGACACGAAAGCCAGGGGAGCAAACGGG